rnacentral:rRNA from 1 species
GACGAACGCUGGCGGCGUGCUUAACACAUGCAAGUCGAACGGUAAGGCCCUUCGGGGUACACGAGUGGCGAACGGGUGAGUAACACGUGGGUGAUCUGCCCUGCACUUCGGGAUAAGCCUGGGAAACUGGGUCUAAUACCGGAUAGGACCACUGCCUGCAUGGGUGGUGGUGGAAAGCUUUUGCGGUGUGGGAUGGGCCCGCGGCCUAUCAGCUUGUUGGUGGGGUGAUGGCCUACCAAGGCGACGACGGGUAGCCGGCCUGAGAGGGUGACCGGCCACACUGGGACUGGGAUACGGCCCAGACUCCUGCGGGAGGCAGCAGUGGGGAAUAUUGCGCAAUGGGCGCAAGCCUGAUGCAGCGACGCCGCGUGAGGGAUGACGGCCUUCGGGUUGUAAACCUCUUUCAGCACCGACGAAGCGCAAGUGACGGUAGGUGCAGAAGAAGGACCGGCCAACUACGUGCCAGCCGCCGCCGUAA